UGGGGAAUCUUGGACAAUGGGCGCAAGCCUGAUCCAGCCAUGCCGCGUGAGUGAAGAAGGCCUUCGGGUUGUAAAGCUCUUUUACCAGGGACGAUAAUGACGGUACCUGGAGAAUAAGCCCCGGCAAACUUCGUGCCAGCAGCCGCGGUAAUACGAAGGGGGCUAGCGUUGUUCGGAAUUACUGGGCGUAAAGCGCACGUAGGCGGAUUGUUAAGUCAGAGGUGAAAUCCCGGAGCUCAACUUCGGAACUGCCUUUGAUACUGGCAAUCUAGAGUCCGGAAGAGGUUAGUGGAAUUCCCAGUGUAGAGGUGAAAUUCGUAGAUAUUGGGAAGAACACCGGUGGCGAAGGCGGCUAUCUGGACGACAACUGACGCUGAGGCGCGAAAGCGUGGGGAUCAAACAGGAUUAGAUACCCCCGUAGUCCCUGAGCGGGCUGGCAAGGCGCAU
rnacentral:rRNA from 1 species